ACAGUGACAUCUCAGAAGGACUCCCUGGAGAGCCCCUCUCCCCUCUCAUCCACACUCAGACCAGAGGGUCCUCUGCCUGCCCCGCCCCCGCCAUGAGCCCCUGCCUCCUGGGCUGUGUGGUCUUCUGUCUCCUGCAGGCAGGGGCGGUCCACGCUGGUGUCACUCAGGACCCCAGAUUCCAGGUCGUGAGGACAGGACAGAGCGCGACACUUAAUUGUACUCAGGAUCUGGGUCAUGACUAUAUGUACUGGUAUCGACAAGACCCGGGACUCGGGCUCAGGCUGAUCCAUUACUCAACUGGACCUUUCACCAAGGAGCAAGGAGACGUGCCUGACGGGUACAGCGUCUCCAGACCAAACUCAGAGAACUUCCCUCUCACGCUGGAGUCCGCCAAACGCUCCCAGCCAUCUGUGUACUUCUGCGCCAGCAGUUACUCCACGGCGCUGCACGGCCAGCUGCUCUCUGUGCAAAAAGGCAAGGCAGCCCCUUGCUUGUAG